UACGAAGGGGGCUAGCGUUGUUCGGAAUUACUGGGCGUAAAGCGUGCGCAGGCGGCUUCUCAAGUCAGGGGUGAAAGCCCAGAGCUCAACUCUGGAAUUGCCUUUGAUACUGAAGAUCUUGAGUUCGGGAGAGGUGAGUGGAACUGCGAGUGUAGAGGUGAAAUUCGUAGAUAUUCGCAAGAACACCAGUGGCGAAGGCGGCUCACUGGCCCGGUACUGACGCUGAGGUGCGAAAGCGUGGGAGCAAACAGG
rnacentral:rRNA from 1 species